AUCUCCAUCGCUACUACCGAUUGAAUGGUUUAGUGAGGUCAUUGAAUUGGUUUCGUUGUAGUGACUUUAUCGCUACUAAUGUUAAGAAGAUGACCUAAUUUGACUAUUUAGAUGAAGUAAAAGUUGUAACAAGGUUUCUGUAGAUGAACCUGUGGAAG
rnacentral:ncRNA from 1 species